AUGUAUCCAUCAGUUAUACAGCUACAAGUCCAUCUGCCAAAUAUGCACCUUGUUCACUAUAAAGAUUCAGAAAAAUUAGAGGAUGUGGUCUGCAAAGGAUCGUCUUCGAGAACAAUGCUAACUGAAUACUUCAGAAUGAACUCUAUUGAUAGUUAUGCCAGGAAUUUCUUAUACAAGGAAUUUCCAGAAUUUUUUGUAUGGAAUAAUAGUACCAAGAGCUGGAAACAUCGCAAACAGAGAAUACAAGUAGGGAGACUUGUCGCUGCACACCCAGCUGAAGGAACGCUAUUACUUGAGGAUACUGCUAAAUCAUGUGAGAUGGGCUACAUCUUUCGAGGAUUUACGGACUGUCGAUGGUUUUGUUUUUGCCACUUUUAG
rnacentral:rRNA from 1 species